rnacentral:tRNA from 1 species
UUCCUUCUGGCUCAGAUGGUAAAGCAUCUGCCUAUAAUGCGGGAGACCUGGGUUCAAUCCCUGGGUUGGGAA